rnacentral:rRNA from 1 species
ACUCCUACGGGAGGCAGCAGUGGGAAUCUUGCGCAAUGGGCGGAAGCCUGACGCAGCAACGCCGCGUGGGGGAUGACGGCCUUCGGGUUGUAAACCUCUUUCGCGAUCGACGAAGCUCGUACUUCUGGUACGGGUGACGGUAGGUCGAGAAGAAGCACCGGCCAACUACGUGCCAGCAGCCGCGGUAAUACGUAGGGUGCGAGCGUUGUCCGGAAUUAUUGGCGUAAAGAGCUCGUAGGCGGUGUGUCGCGUCGGCCGUGAAAACCUGGGGCUUAACUCUGGGCGUGCGGUCGAUACGGGCAUCACUGGAGUUCGGCAGGGAGACUGGAAUUCCUGGUGUAGCGGUGAAAUGCGCAGAUAUCAGGAGGAACACCGGUGGCGAAGGCGGGUCUCUGGGCCGAUACUGACGCUGAGGAGCGAAAGCAUGGGUAGCGAACAGGAUUAGAUACCCUGUAGGCUCUG